rnacentral:rRNA from 1 species
GACGAACGCUGGCGGCGUACUUAACACAUGCAAGUCGAACGGAAAGGCCCUGCUUUUGUGGGGUGCUCGAGUGGCGAACGGGUGAGUAACACGUGAGUAACCUGCCCUUGACUUUGGGAUAACUUCAGGAAACUGGGGCUAAUACCGGAUAGGAGCUCCUGCUGCAUGGUGGUGGUUGGAAAGUUUCGGCGGUUGGGGAUGGACUCGCGGCUUAUCAGCUUGUUGGUGGGGUAGUGGCUUACCAAGGCUUUGACGGGAAGCCGGCCUGAGAGGGUGACCGGCCACAUUGGGACUGAGAUACGGCCCAGACUCCUACGGGAGGCAGCAGUGGGGAAUAUUGCACAAUGGGCGGAAGCCUGAUGCAGCAACGCCGCGUGCGGGAUGACGGCCUUCGGGUUGUAAACCGCUUUCGCCUGUGACGAAGCGUGAGUGACGGUAAUGGGUAAAGAAGCACCGGCUAACUACGUG